UGGGGAAUAUUGCACAAUGGGCGCAAGCCUGAUGCAGCGACGCCGCGUGAGGGAUGGAGGCCUUCGGGUUGUAAACCUCUUUCGCCAGUGAAGCAGGCCAUCUUCUUUGUGGGGUGGUUGACGGUAGCUGGAUAAGAAGCGCCGGCUAACUACGUGCCAGCAGCCGCGGUAAUACGUAGGGCGCGAGCGUUGUCCGGAAUUAUUGGGCGUAAAGAGCUCGUAGGCGGCUGGUCGCGUCUGUCGUGAAAUCCCCUGGCUUAACUGGGGGCUUGCGGUGGGUACGGGCCGGCUUGAGGGCGGUAGGGGAGACUGGAAUUCCUGGUGUAGCGGUGGAAUGCGCAGAUAUCAGGAGGGACACCGGUGGCGAAGGCGGGUCUCUGGGCCGUUACUGACGCUGAGGAGCGAAAGCGUGGGGAGCGAACAGG
rnacentral:rRNA from 1 species